UACAGAGGGUGCAAGCGUUACUCGGAAUUACUGGGCGUAAAGGGUUCGUAGGUGGCUUGCUAAGUCAGACGUGAAAUCCCUCAGCUUAACUGGGGAACUGCGUCUGAGACUGGCAAGCUUGAGUGCAGGAGAGGAAUGCGGAAUUCCAGGUGUAGCGGUGAAAUGCGUAGAUAUCAGGAGGAACACCGAUGGCGAAGGCAGGUCUCUGGGCCACUACUGACGCUGAGGAGCGAAAGCGUGGGUAGCAAACAGG
rnacentral:rRNA from 1 species